rnacentral:rRNA from 1 species
UUGGACAAUGGUAGGAGAGCGUUCUAAGGGCGUUGAAGCAUGAUCGCAAGGACAUGUGGAGCGCUUAGAAGUGAGAAUGCCGGUGUGAGUAGCGAAAGACGGGUGAGAAUCCCGUCCACCGAUUGACUAAGGUUUCCAGAGGAAGGCUCGUCCGCUCUGGGUUAGUCGGGUCCUAAGCUGAGGCCGACAGGCGUAGGCGAUGGAUAACAGGUUGAUAUUCCUGUACCACCAUUAUUCGUUUUAAGCGAUGGGGGGACGCAGUAGGAUAGGCGAAGCGUGCUGUUGGAGUGCACGUCCAAGCAGUGAGAUUGAGUGUUAGGCAAAUCCGGCACUCUUAAGAUUGAGCUGUGAUGGGGAGAGGAACUUCUUCCUCGAGUCGUUGAUUUCACACUGCCGAGAAAAGCCUCUAGCUAGAAUAACGGUGCCCGUACCGCAAACCGACACAGGUAGUCAAGAUGAGAAUUCUAAGGUGAGCGAGCGAACUCUCGUUAAGGAACUCGGCAAAAUGACCCCGUAACUUCGGGAGAAGGGGUGCUCUUUGAGGUUCACGCUUCGAAGAGCCGCAGUGAAUAGGCCCAAGCGACUGUUUAUCAAAAACACAGGUCUCUGCUAAACCGUAAGGUGACGUAUAGGGGCUGACGCCUGCCCGGUGCUGGAAGGUUAAGAGGAGUGGUUAGCGCAAGCGAAGCUACGAAUCGAAGCCCCAGUAAACGGCGGCCGUAACUAUAACGGUCCUAAGGUAGCGAAAUUCCUUGUCGGGUAAGUUCCGACCCGCACGAAAGGCGUAACGAUUUGGGCACUGUCUCAACGAGAGACUCGGUGAAAUCAUAGUACCGGUGAAGAUGCCGGUUACCCGCGACAGGACGGAAAGACCCCGUGGAGCUUUACUGUAGCCUGAUAUUGAAAUUCGGUACAGUUUGUACA